rnacentral:rRNA from 1 species
UAUUAUGAGAGUUUGAUCCUGGCUCAGGACGAACGCUGGCGGCGUGCCUAAUACAUGCAAGUCGAACGCUUCUUUCCUCCCGAGUGCUUGCACUCAAUUGGAAAGAGGAGUGGCGGACGGGUGAGUAACACGUGGGUAACCUACCCAUCAGAGGGGGAUAACACUUGGAAACAGGUGCUAAUACCGCAUAACAGUUUAUGCCGCAUGGCAUAAGAGUGAAAGGCGCUUUCG